GGGGGGGCACUCUCGGGCUGAGCAGGAUGAAUUUCCAUUACAGACUAGAGUUUCUGACGUCUCCGUGACGCCACUGCUUGGAACUGACCCAGUCCGGGGUAUGGGGGGCCGGCGAGAGUCCUCCCGGCCUUUGGUGACUCAUUGGUUUCUUUACAGGCCCCGGGUUCUCGGGCGAGUCUGCAGCGCCUGGAGGGGCUUUAGGAUGUCCUCCGGAGUGUUAUUUUUGAGUAAAGCAUGAGUUCUGGAAGCCCCGCCUGGGGCAGUGCCCCUUCACAGAGUUUUCACCUGGGAGACUGAAAACCUGAGGUUACUUCUGUUGGAGAAGGGCUGUUGAGAUGCCUGGGAUGCCUAGGUAAUUAAUGGUUCCUGCCACUUCAGGCUAUGACAGGAAGAGCCACAGUCCUUCUUUCUGCUAUGGGUUUUGCUGAUACAAAGGAUACUCUGUAUCUGGUGUUGGGCAGAUCCGAGGAACUUACAUCGUUUCCAUCAUUAGCCCUCGUGAGCAGCUGUCAACAGAGAAAAAAAACUGCCUAGAAAUGUGGGGACACUUAAAUUUAUCAGUUAGCUUUUACUUCUUUACUUUGUCUUAAACAAGUACUUGGUUUUAUCAAAAGGAUUCCAAUAAAAUAUAUUAAAGCAAA